rnacentral:rRNA from 1 species
AUGAACGCUGGCGGCGUGCCUCAUACAUGCCAGUCGAGCGAACGGACGAGAAGCUUGCUUCUCUGAUGUUAGCGGCGGACGGGUGAGUAACACGUGGAUAACCUACCUAUAAGACUGGGAUAACUUCGGGAAACCGGAGCUAAUACCGGAUGAUAUUUUGAACCGCAUGGUUCAAAAGUGAAAGACGGUCUUGCUGUCACUUAUAGAUGGAUCCGCGCUGCAUUAGCUAGUUGGUAAGGUAACGGCUUACCAAGGCAACGAUGCAUAGCCGGCCUGAGAGGGUGAUCGGCCACACUGGAACUGAGACACGGUCCAGACUCCUACGGGAGGCAGCAGUAGGGAAUCUUCCGCAAUGGGCGAAAGCCUGACGGAGCAACGCCGCGUGAGUGAUGAAGGUCUUCGGAUCGUAAAACUCUGUUAUUAGGGAAGAACAUAUGUGUAAGUAACUGUGCACAUCUUGACGGUACCUAAUCAGAAAGCCACGGCUAACUACGUG